CGGGGCGUAGCGCAGCCCGGUAGCGUACUCGCUUGGGGUGCGAGUGGUCGUGGGUUCAAAUCCCGCCGCCCCGACCA
rnacentral:tRNA from 6 species